ACUUCCUAUUUGGCUGCCCUCAAAGGCAACUGCUGAUGAAAAACUGACACAGUCUUCAGGGAGAGAUGAUGAUCUGAUGUCAUCUUGGACAAGAUCUCCAAAGGAACUACAAAAACGGACAAUGAAGGCAAGAACAGCUUUGUGCCAUGGGUUGUCACAAGCUUUUCACCACCAGGAGCCCAAUGAUUCUGCUCUGGAUUGUCAGUCAUCCCAGGUCUUGUGAUUCUGCUCAACUAUACAGUAUCUCAACCCUGCAGCUAAUUUGACAGAUGAGGAAACUGAGGCAAGGAGGAAUAAGUGGCUUGUCCAGGAUCACAUAGGUG